CCUUAAUUUCUUAUUUACUAAUACAUAUCUCCUUUCUUAUCUUUUAUAUAUUUUUUAUGCAUUUAUUAAUUGUAUUUUAUAUUGAGUGCUGUUAGAUUUUAUAUGUAUGGACAACUAUGGACAGAUCUCUGGUAGAAUUUCAAUACCAGCGUCCGCUAUUCACCCGGAAGUGAGUCACCAUAUCAAGUGGAACGCAUAGAACGUUU